UGUUGAAAGGGAUCCUGACUCACUCUUCAUCUUCGUUCACUGCUUAAACGUGUUUACGUAACAGAACUUACAUGGAUAAAAGAUUGAUUUAACAAAUAGGUAUGAAAUAUGGUCAUCAUUUUUAAACUGAUAUGUAUGUGGUUGCGUUCUUUAUAUUAAAUCUCUCAUAUUUGUAAGGUAUAUGACAUGUAAAGAACUGAAGCAAACAUAAUUAUGUCGACACGGUCGUCAUAUAUGAAGUCUUAUUUCUAAAACGUAUGUGACAUGUAAAGAAGUAAAGCAAGCUUAAUUUGGGCGACGAGAUCGUCAGAUGUGAAGUCUUACUUCUAAAACAAAGGUAAUUUUACUAAAAUAAAGCGAGAUAUAUAUCUACAUUACCGACCCAAAAAAUUAGCUAAAGAAUAAUCUAGAUGAAGUAUGAAGAAACAUGGAUGUGAAAUCAUAUCAAAGUUGAUACACAAACUUUUUAACUAUUGACCAUAAGCUGUAUGAUAGGUAAAAACUGUGAAACCUGUUCAAAAGUAUGGGGAGGAAGAAUAGCAUGAUUGUAUUUUCUA